GGGGCUCAAGCAAGCCAACAACCUCCCCUGGCCCCACCCACACAUGCUGGCCUUUGAGUGGGCAGGAGGAGGCCCCAGAUGCUGCGACAGGAAUGUCCCAUUGCCCUCGUGGAAGGGCCCAUGAAGAGCACCAGAUCCCUCAAAUUAUGGGAUAAGACAGGACUUUGGUGGUGAUGAGAAUAACAUUUUCUUAAAUUUUAAUAGUUAUCUGUUGGCCAGGCAUGGUGGCUUGUGCCUAUAAUCCCAGCACUUAGAGAGGCCAAGACAGGCGGAUCACCUGAGCCUCCCAAAGUGCUGGGAUGACAGGCGUGAGCCACUGCGCCCAGCCGAGAUUUGUCAUUCUUAACAAGCUCCCAGGGGAUGCCAAUACUGUCAGUUGGGACCACACUUGAUUUUUUUUGUUUUUUGUUUUUUUUGAGACAGGGUCUCACUCUGUCUUCCAGGCUGGAGUGCAGUGGCAGGUUCUCGGCUCAAUGCAACCUCCGCCUCCUGGGUUCAAGUGAUUCUUGUGCCUCAGCCUCCCGAGUAGCUGGGAUUACAGGCUUGAGUUACCAUGCCUGGCUAAUUUUUUUUAUUUUUAGUAGAGACGAGGUUUCACCAUGUUGCCGAGACUGGUCUCCAACUCCUGGCCUCAAUUGAUCCACAUACCUCAACUUCAUAGUGCUGGGAUUACAGGUGUAAGCCACUGUGCUUGUCUUGUUUUUUAUUAUUUUUAUUUUUUAUUUUUGAGAUAGGGUCUCACUGUUGCCCAGGCUGGAGUGCAAUGGCACAAUCAUGGCUCCCUGCAGCCUCAAACUCCUGGGAUCAAGUGAUCCUCCCACCUCAGCCUUCCAAGUAGCUGGGACUACAGAUGGGAAACACCACGUCCUGCUAAUUUUUAAAAAAUGUUUUGUAGAGAUGGGGUCUCCCUAUGUUGCCCAGGCUGGUCUUAAACUACUGACCUCAAGUGAUCCUCUUGCCUUGGCCUCCCAAAGUACUAGGAUUUCAGUUGUGAGCCACCAUACCCAGCUGGGACCACACUGAAUAGCAAGGCUCCUGCUAACUCCUUCAGCAGACACAUUCUCCCUCAUACCACCUGGUAAGUGAUCACUGUAAACUUCUCAAUGGCAAGGACAGGCUCUUGUUCAUUUAUGUGCCCCUCAACCACCUACCUACCACAGUUCCCGGCACACAGUGAGGGCUUAAUUAACACCCACUGACUCUAGGUGGUUUCAGGUUCCUAGCAAAGUGGCAAACACCUUGAGCAAAAAACUUGUUCAAGGCUGGGCACAGUAGCUCAUGCCUAUGAUCCCAGCACUUUGGAAGGCUGAGGUGGGAGGACUGCUUGAGCCCAGGAGUUUGAGACCUGCCUGGGUGACAUAGUAAGACUGCAUCUCUACAAAAACAAAAACCUUAUUCAAAAACAUUUCCUGCAUGCUUCCUUUGUGACAGACACUGGAGAAAGCACUUUUCAUAAAUGAGUUUGUGGGCCAGAUGUGGUGGCUCAUGCCUGUAAUCACAGCACUUUGGGAGGCCGAGGCAGGCGGAUCACCUGAGGUCAGGAGUUCGAGACCAGCUUGGCCAACAUGAUAAAACCCCGUCUCUACUAAAAAUACAAAAUUAGCUGGACAUGGUGACACACGCCUGUAAUCCCAGCUACUCGGGAGGCUGAGGCAGGAGAAUGGCUUGAACCUGGGAGGCGGAGGCUACAGUGAGCCAAGAUCAUGCCACUGCACUCCACCCUGGGUGACAGAGUGAGACUGUGUCUCAAAAAUAAAUAAAAUAAAAUAAAAUAUAAAAUAAUAAAAUAGUUUGUAGAAUCUUCCGUUAUAGCCCUCUGACAGAAGCACUAUCACCAUCACUAUCUUACAGACGAGGGAACAG
rnacentral:lncRNA from 1 species